ACUUCACCGUUUUGCAGUCCCUUGCCUGAUCUCAUCUGACCUCGGAAGCAAAGCAGAGUUGGGCCUGGUUAGUA
rnacentral:rRNA from 1 species